UACGUAGGCAGCAAGCGUUGUUCGGAAUUACUGGGCGUAAAGAGUGUGUAGGCGGUGCUCUAAGUCUGUUGUGAAAUCUCCCGGCUUAACCGGGAGGGUGCGGCGGAAACUGGAGUGCUUGAGGGUGGGAGAGGUAAGCGGAAUUCCUGGUGUAGCGGUGAAAUGCGUAGAUAUCAGGAGGAACACCAAUGGCGAAAGCAGCUCGCUGGGACGUGACUGGCGCUGAGACGCGAAAGCGUGGGGAGCAAACAGG
rnacentral:rRNA from 1 species